GAUGAACGCUGGCGGCGUGCCUAAUACAUGCAAGUCGAGCGAACAGACGAGGAGCUUGCUCCUCUGACGUUAGCGGCGGACGGGUGAGUAACACGUGGAUAACCUACCUAUAAGACUGGGAUAACUUCGGGAAACCGGAGCUAAUACCGGAUAAUAUAUUGAACCGCAUGGUUCAAUAGUGAAAGACGGUUUUGCUGUCACUUAUAGAUGGAUCCGCGCCGCAUUAGCUAGUUGGUAAGGUAACGGCUUACCAAGGCAACGAUGCGUAGCCGACCUGAGAGGGUGAUCGGCCACACUGGAACUGAGACACGGUCCAGACUCCUACAGGAGGCAGCAGUAGGGAAUCUUCCGCAAAGGGCGAAAGCUUGACGGAGCAACGCCGCGUGAGUGAUGAAGGUCUUCGGAUCGUAAAACUCUGUUAUUAGGGAAGAACAAAUGUGUAAGUAACUAUGCACGUCUUGACGGUACCUAAUCAGAAAGCCACGGCUAACUACGUG
rnacentral:rRNA from 1 species